GACGAACGCUGGCGGCGGGCCUAACACAUGCAAGUCGAACGGCCCUUCGGGGUAGUGGCGGACGGGUGAGUAACGCGUGGGAAUGUGCCCUUUGGUACGGAACAACUGAGGGAAACUUCAGCUAAUACCGUAUGUGCCCUUCGGGGGAAAGAUUUAUCGCCAUUGGAGCAGCCCGCUUUGGAUUCGCUAGUUGGUAGGGUAAAGGCCUACCAAGGCUACGAUCCAUAGCUGGUCUGAGAGGAUGAUCAGCCACACUGGGACUGAGACACGGCCCAGGCUCCUACGGGAGGCAGCAUUGGGGAAUCUUGCGCAAUGGGCGAAAGCCUGACGCAGCCAUGCCGCGUGUAUGAUGAAGGUCUUAGGAUUGUAAAAUACUUUCACCGGGGAAGAUAAUAACGGUACCCGGAGAAGAAGCCCCGGCUAACUUCGUGCCAGCAGCCGCCGUAACAC
rnacentral:rRNA from 1 species